CAGCCUUUGUGUCUGAGGACAGCUGGCCGGGCCUUCUCUGUUUGGAGGUGUUGACGACUCCCGUGGAGAUGGCACGUGGGAGUUCCUGGAUGAUGAGGGAUCUGGCCCUAGUGGAAGCCGAGGAAGCUCCAGCGAAGACAUACAGAUGGGUCCAGACUGGGACUUCUGCAGGAGCUGCUCUAUCCUCACCCUCUUUGUGCUGCAAGGCUCUGCCGAUGAUUUCACUUGCCAAGAGAGUUCUACUGGAAAAGAAUGAAAAGCCACUUGGUGAGGUGGUGCAUGCCUGUCAUCCCACACACUGGGAGACUGAGGCAGGAGGAUUGAAAGUUUGAGCCCAGCCUGGGCAAUUUAGUGAGACCCUAACUCAGAAAAAGUAAACAGGGCUAGGGCUGUAGCUCCAUGGUAGAGUCCUCGCCUGGCAUGGCAUGCAUGGGGCCCUGGGUUCCAUCCCUAGCACCGCAAAAACAAACAGAUAAACAUUGCUAAAUUGAAGAGAAAUGCUAGCUGGUUGAGUGGAUGGCCGGAUAUUCUUUUUUUUUUUUUUUGGUACCGGGGAUCGAACUCAGGUCCUUGCACUUGCACAGCAGGCGGCAAAACCACUGAACUAAAUCCCCAGUCC
rnacentral:lncRNA from 1 species